ACCUACUAGCGCGAUCUGGUCUGCCCACUGAUCCGACCAAGGACUGACUCACUAACCUCCAGCACUGACGCUCCCCAGACUGACCCUGGCACCGUGUCUGUUAACCCAGGCCACAGGCUGACUGACUGCUGCCCACUCCUAUCCAGACUUGCCCCAAACCCUGCCACAGUCUGGCUGAACCCCAGCUCUGGCCACACUCUGCCCCCUCACCCUCCUUUCAGACUGACCUCUGAUUUGGGUCACAAGGAGACCCCUUGACCUUGCCACCGACUGACCCUUAACAGGAGGAGAAAUAACCAGAGAACCAUGAAACGCUAAAUUGGAGAAGGCUGUAAGAGAACUGCCAGCUGUCGGGCAAAGGAAGGAGAGAGGCUUGGAGAGCCCAAGAGGAAGCCAAACCAGAGAGCAUGAGGAGGGAAAUGAAACCAGGCCCUGAUCUGCUUAUUCAUCUCUGAAAUGGGUCUAUCAACCACCACCCCUGUCUGGGCACCAGGUAGGCAGUGGCCAUGGGAUGUCCAGGAGCUCACUUGGCAUCUGGGGUGAGGGGUAGACACCCACAGAGAAGCAGGGAAGAAGGCAGCAGUACCGUGGGUAGUGUUGAUUCUAUUAAGAUCUCGGUUAGUACCAGCUACCAUUUAUUGAAGAUUCAUUAUGACCAGGCACUAUGAUGUGGAUAUCUCAGAAAGGUGAAGCCAAGGCUGCUGAGCCAGGAAGUGAAGGAGCCGGAUCUGAAGCCUGCAGAGCUGCACUGCUGACCUCUGGGCUCUCCCACGUGAUGAGGGUUGCUUGCGCUGUGCUCACCAUCUUUCCGGGGGCAUUUGACGCACCAGUUUGGUGCCAGACAUGUUUUCAAGCUGCAGCAACUGCUUAGAUGACAAAGGUCAGGGGGAGGCUGCAGAUUUGGGACGCUGACAGAGCCUCCUCCGUGAGAAAGCUCAGCAGCAGCUGGGCCGGGGUCAUGUGUGGUAGCCCCCAUGCUCUGACACCCCCUCCCCAACACUGCCUCCCUCCCAGGGGACAAAGGAACUUGGCUCUGAAGCUGAGGCCAGAAUAUGAGCCAGAGACCUGACCUGACCCCCACCUUGGAGUCGAGUGGAUCUGGGGCCCUGGUGGGGGAGGGGUUGUCCCCAAACCCAACAAACAAACCCUGUUAUUUUAUAAUCACACCAUAGAACAGACUUGAAUGGAAAGCCAGUGGAUCUGGAAGCUUGGAAACCCAGUUCGAGCCUCUACCUCCUCAAUCUGCACAGUGUCCUUGAGUAAACUUGCUUACUAACUCCAAACCUCAGUUCUCUUAUCUGUGAAAUAGAGACAAUGAUACUCCCUUGGGUGGUUGUAAGGAUUUGGGGCACCAGGGGUUAAAUUCACUUUAUUUUAGACUGCCUAUGUUAUGUGUCUUAAGUUGUGGUUCUAAUAAUUUCCCCACUCAAAAGAAACAAGCUUAAAAGAGAAUAGAAAAAAAUAGUUAAUAAUUCAA